AAACGCCGAGAAGCGAUGAGGAGGCAGCAUCCUUCGGGAAGCAGCCGCAACUGACUGAUUCCAUGCUUCCAAGAAAAGCCUCGAGUGGAGACCAUAUGUCGACCGUACCGGAAACCGACACAGGUGGGUGGGGAGAAUAUCCCAAGGCGCUUGAGAGAACCCGGGUUAAGGAACUCGGCAAAUUGACACCGUAACUUCGGGAGAAGGUGUGCCCUCAUUAGGUGAAGCGGCUUGCCCGUGGAGCUGAAGAGGGUUGCAGAGAAAUGGGGGUAGCGACUGUUUACUAAAAACACAGGGCUCUGCGAAGUCGCAAGACGAAGUAUAGGGUCUGACGCCUGCCCGGUGCCGGAAGGUUAAGGGGAGCUGUUAGGGCAACCGAAGCGGCGAACCGAAGCCCCGGUAAACGGCGGCCGUAACUAUAACGGUCCUAAGGUAAAAUUCCUUGUCGGGUAAGUUCCGACCUGCACGAAUGGCGUAACGACUUCCCCACUGUCUCAACCUGGGACUCAGCGAAAUUGAAUUCUCGGUGAAGAUGCCGAGUACCCGCGGCAAGACGGAAAGACCCCGUGAACCUUUACUAUAGCUUGACAGUGAACUUCGGGCUAAUCUGUGUAGGAUAGGUGGGAGGCGAUGAAGCGUGGGCGCUAGCUUGCGCAGAGCCAGCGUUGAAAUACCACCCUGGUUAUUCUGGAGUUCUAACCGCGGCCCGUAAUCCGGGUCCGGGACACUGUCUGGUGGGUAGUUUGACUGGGGCGGUCGCCUCCAAAAAAGAACGGAGGCGCGCGAAGGUUCCCUCAGGCUGAUUGGAAACCAGCCGUAGAGUGCAAAGGCAUAAGGGAGCUUGACUGCGAGACCGACAGGUCGAGCAGGUACGAAAGUAGGCCUUGGUGAUCCGGUGGUUCUGUAUGGAAGGGCCAUCGCUCAACGGAUAAAAGGUACUCCGGGAUAACAGGCUUAUCUCCCCCAAGAGUUCACAUCGACGGGGAGGUUUGGCACCUCGAUGUCGGCUCAUCGCAUCCUGGGGCUGGAGUAGGUCCCAAGGGUUUGGCUGUUCGCCAAUUAAAGCGGUACGCGAGCUGGGUUUAGAACGUCGUGAGACAGUUCGGUCCCUAUCUGCCGUGGGCGCAGGAAGUUUGAGAGGAUCUGUCCUUAGUACGAGAGGACCGGGAUGGACGUACCUCUGGUGUUCCGGUUGUCGCGCCAGCGGCAUUGCCGGGUAGCCACGUACGGACGGGAUAACCGCUGAAAGCAUCUAAGCGGGAAACCCACCUCAAGAUUAUACCUCCCGGGACGCAAGUCCCCUAAAGACCCCUCGAAGACGACGAGGUUGAUAGGCUGGAUGUGGAAACUCAGCAAUGAGGGGAGCUAACCAGUACUAAUGGGUCGUGAGGCUUGAUCUU
rnacentral:rRNA from 1 species